rnacentral:lncRNA from 1 species
UACAAUAUAUAACAACAGAUAUGUAGAAUUCAAAGUUUGAAAAUCGCCUUAAUUGAUAUCAGUUUCAGUUACAUAUGUUUUUGGUUCGCUGGUUCUAUAUAUGAUUCCGUUUUUUGUCUAUUUUUAUGAAGAUUCACAAGAGACAAAUUGUGAUCCAACAAAAAAAAACUAGAGAAAUUGUUUAUUUUUAUAUGUGUGCUGUGCUUCUAACUGUACUUUGAUAUAUUUUCUUUAUAAUUUUGAUUCUUUAAUAGCUAUGAGAAAAUAUUUUUAAAACCGUCACUUUUAAUAAUGGACUAACUUUUGUGAGUCGAAUUUAUCUUUUUGUUCAAAAUACAAACAAAAUGAGUAGUUAAAUUCUUAAUUUUCAUUUAUUGGUUAUCAAAAGUUUCAUUUAUAUCUUUGUUUAAUGUUUUUAAGGUAUUGAACAUUUGAACCGUGUAUACAAAGAUUUAUAUCUAUUGUCAGGAAGUUGAUUCAUGAUGUGUAUUCUAUUGUAUGUUUAUGGUUUUUUGGUUUUGUAUGAUAUGUUCAUGGUCUUUUGUUCUCGUUAGGUGAUUCAUGAUGGAAGACGAAAACAACCCAUUUAGUAUUGGAUGUGUAUCGUAUUUGUACUUCUUAAAUUUUAAGUUUCUUAAACUGAAUCGAUUAUGAACAAAAAUUGCAUUUUAUUGAAAGUUUGUGUUUUAUAUUAUGAGUAUUAUGGUUUUGUUUGUAUUGUUUGACAAGAGUAAAAGGUAGAAGAAUUAGAGCGAUACUACAUGAAUUGGGUAAAUAGGUAAAUGACUGAUGAUAAUAGAAUAGGAAAAUAUGUAAAUAUUCAUUUAAUAGUUCAUUAAGGGUAAACUAGUCAUAAAUAAGAGUCAUUUUAAUGAAAAGGGAAAAUAUGUAAUAUAUAUUGGUUAGGGAGGGGAAAUAUGUAAUUGUUUUUUUGGUUUAGGGAAAUACAUAAUAAGACAACUUAAGAGGGGAAAAUAUAUAAAAGUCCCUAUAUUAUUUAUGAAUAUGAAUUGUGAGUGAAGUUGAACUUCUUUUUCUUCCAAUACAAGUAAUGUUAUUUAGUGUACUUUCUUAUCAUUGAAUGUUGAUUGUGUUAUCAACUUAUGAACAUUGCAAACAUGCGAGACAUGCUUUCUUUAGUUUUAGUUAAGUUAGUACUUUGUGUAUUGCCAUAAUUUUAUGUAUGAUAUAUGAAAGUCGAGCUCUUAUAAGUUAAACAAGCGCGGGCUUGACUCCACUCGUUUGCACCCCUAGGUAAACGGGACCAAAGGUCUGCCUUAUACAGUUAGAGAACCAUCACAAUGUUUUGAUGAAACGAGAAACCCUUCAUGAGACAGUAUCUCAGUUGACGGUUAAUACGAUUGAAUUGUUUAGCACUUUAGUGUUAGUUGCAUUUUUAGGCACGUUUAUGUAGCAUAUUAAUAAUAAAAUUUCAUCACAUAUCAUGCAUAUUUCAUAAUAAUGCCUCAUAAUUUUGAAAUACACACGUUUUUGUGGAACGGAAUCUACUUCGGUCGUUUUUAAUGAUUUUUGUAGGCGUGGAGUAAUUGCAAGUGCCGAUAACGAGUAUUGGAGGGAUCGACUGAUUAUGGAGGAAGCGAGUUAAGUUGAAUAAAUUGGAAAGAGAGAAAAAAUCGGUCGAUGGUCAAAAGUUCAUUUUAUCUCUAGUAUGUUGGGCUUAAAGUAUAUUGUCAUGGGCUAAUGGAAGUUUGGUGGAUUAGUCCACAAAAGAAAGGAAAAAA